rnacentral:rRNA from 1 species
UACGUAGGUGGCGAGCGUUACUCGGAUUUACUAGGCGUAAAGCGUGUGUAGGCGGGAGCUUAAGUUCGUUGUUAAAUUCCAGAGCUCAACUCUGGACUGUCGACGAAUACUGGGCUUCUUGAGUAAGGUAGGGGAAACUGGAAUUCCAGGUGUAGCGGUGAAAUGCGUAGAUAUCUGGAAGAACGCCAAAGGCGAAGGCAGGUUUCUGGGCCUUUACUGACGCUGAGACACGAAAGCUAGGGGAGCAAACAGG